rfam:Triticum aestivum genome assembly, contig: Triticum_aestivum_CS42_TGACv1_scaffold_080412_1DS
CAACUACUCCCUCCGUCCGGAAAUACUUGUCCAGGAAAUGGUUGUAUCUAGACUUAUUUUAGUUAUAGAUACAUCCAUUUUAUCCAUUUCUAGGACAAGUAUUUCCGGACGGAGGGAGUACUAG